ACAAAAAAAAAACUUAAAGCAAAUUUCUCAAAAAAAGUUUUAAAAAUCAUCUCUAAAAUGGUUAUCACCAUGAAAACUUUAGUCAUGUUUGUUUUCACUACUUUUUUCAUUAUAUCUUUUGUUGAUUCACUUGAUUGUCAUCCUCCAACGGCAGUUACCAUUCCUGCUAAUUCUCCAAGUUAUGGAUUAAGUAUGGGUACAAUAAUAUGCUUCAGACUCACAGUGUCAUGUUAUUCUGGAGGCUUCGUACAGUGCAAAAGGAUUUGUGAGGUGCGGAAUUAUUAUUACAAGCAGUGUAGUCAGGAUGAAUGUUAUUGUGAAACAAUAAGUAAACGUCGAAGAUAAAAUUGUUUGAUGUUUGUUUGAAAUAAACAUCAAUAGCUUUCAUGCAUUUUCACCAAUAGAUGCUAAAAAAUAAAAUAAAUAAAGUUUAUCAAAUUGAAAUAAUUUUUUUUGAACAACCUCAAAUUGAAAUAAAUAAAAGAAUAAAAUAAAAUAAAA